AUUGAACGCUGGCGGCAUGCUUUACACAUGCAAGUCGAACGGUAACAGGUCUUCGGAUGCUGACGAGUGGCGAACGGGUGAGUAAUACAUCGGAACGUGCCUAGUAGUGGGGGAUAACUACUCGAAAGGGUAGCUAAUACCGCAUGAGAUCUACGGAUGAAAGCAGGGGACCUUCGGGCCUUGUGCUACUAGAGCGGCUGAUGGCAGAUUAGGUAGUUGGUGGGGUAAAGGCUUACCAAGCCUGCGAUCUGUAGCUGGUCUGAGAGGACGACCAGCCACACUGGGACUGAGACACGGCCCAGACUCCUACGGGAGGCAGCAGUGGGGAAUUUUGGACAAUGGGCGAAAGCCUGAUCCAGCAAUGCCGCGUGCAGGAUGAAGGCCCUCGGGUUGUAAACUGCUUUUGUACGGAACGAAAAGCCUGGGGCUAAUACCCCCGGGUCAUGACGGUACCGUAAGAAUAAGCACCGGCUAACUACGUGCCAGCAGCCGCGGUAAUACGUAGGGUGCAAGCGUUAAUCGGAAUUACUGGGCGUAAAGCGUGCGCAGGCGGUUUUGUAAGACAGUGGUGAAAUCCCCGGGCUCAACCUGGGAACUGCCAUUGUGACUGCAAGGCUAGAGUGCGGCAGAGGGGGAUGGAAUUCCGCGUGUAGCAGUGAAAUGCGUAGAUAUGCGGAGGAACACCGAUGGCGAAGGCAAUCCCCUGGGCCUGCACUGACGCUCAUGCACGAAA
rnacentral:rRNA from 1 species